rnacentral:rRNA from 1 species
AAUCAACGCUGGCGGCGUGCCUAACACAUGCAAGUCGAACGCGAAAGCCCUUUCGGGGGUAAGUAGAGUGGCGUCCGGGUGAGUAACACGUAGGUAAUCUGCCUUCGGGUGGGGAAUAACCAGUCGAAAGAUUGGCUAAUACCGCAUAAUGCAGCGGCACCUAAUGGUGAUUAGUUGUUAAAGCGGGGGAUCGUAAGACCUCGCGCCUGAAGAGGAGCCUGCGGCAGAUUAGCUAGNGAUGAGGUAAUGGCUCACCAAGGCUUCGAUCUGUAGCUGGUCUGAGAGGACGGCCAGCCACACU